CAAUAGCGUAUAUUAUUGAUGUUGCAGUUGAAACGUUCGUAGUCAAACUUCGUCUACUUUGGCAAUGUGUCGUCUAAGAUGACAUGUUGAUCGAGUGGAAGUGGCGGCAACUCAGCUCGUGUUUCACGAGUUGAUGUUUGUCGUUGUACUUUGAGUGAAUCGGCGUGUUCCACGCAAGCUUGAUGCUUUGAACGAUUUACCAUAGUAUACCAAAAGUAUGGAGACAUUUCUCUGUUUCGUCAGUAAUUUCUCUGAUACUCAUAAGAACGGUUGAGGGCAUUCGUAUUCAACUGCCAGAGGUGAAAUUCUUUGAUUAGUUGAGGACGAACCAUUGCGAAAGCAUCUGCCAAGGACGUUUNUUUUGA
rnacentral:rRNA from 1 species